rnacentral:lncRNA from 1 species
UCUUUGCAUGUGUGUGCUCGCCAGUGCAGCGAAGUCGCGAGUUUACUAGCAGAACCUGUGCGGCAUUAAUUAACAUGUUAUAGUUUUUGUUCAGUUUCAUCUGUGGAAAGUGUAACGAGUCAAUAGCAGCAUAUCCGAGUGGUUUUUGGUGCUGUACUAUGCGGCGUCUUGACUGCCGAUCGAGGGACACCGAUUUCCUCAGCUCUCAUUCUUCCAUUUGUCGAUUGCCUGCGCGUCACUCGGGUGCCUUCAACAACACAAACACCACUGCUGUGGAUCAAGGCCUCCUGUGGAUCUCUGUCC